UUGUAAAUAAUUUUAUCUAUUUGAGAAGAAGUAAAGAAAGCGGGGUGGAAAGUGGUGUCCACACGGCCACACCUCGCCCGUGGUUCAGCGCACACACUGGGAAAAGAAAGCAAGGUCCAUAACGGCCAUUACACUCGUCUGUUAUUCGCAUCUCUCUGCCACUUCACUACGAGGAAGCCCGACUCGGACACGAAAUUCAAUGUCCAUAUUGGCGAGGCCUGAACGCUUACUCUCACCGUGAUGUUGUUUCUCCAGCUUUUCUUGGGGCCCUUACCUCCAGGAAACCGCACUGUCCAUCACCCAAAUUUGACCACAAAUGUUUAGCGUGAUUUAUUG